AUACGGAGGGUGCGAGCGUUAAUCGGAAUUACUGGGCGUAAAGCGUGCGUAGGCGGUUUGCUAAGUCAGAUGUGAAAGCCCCGGGCUUAACCUGGGAACUGCAUUUGAUACUGGCAGACUAGAGUAUGAUAGAGGGGGGUAGAAUUCCUGGUGUAGCGGUGAAAUGCGUAGAUAUCAGGAGGAAUACCAGUGGCGAAGGCGGCCCCCUGGAUCAAUACUGACGCUGAGGUACGAAAGCGUGGGGAGCGAACAGAAUUAGAAACCCCAGUAGUCC
rnacentral:rRNA from 1 species